CACAUCAGCUCGAGUGAGGAUACGCACUAAACUUAAACAUAUCAGUCGGCGCACGGCAACAAUAAAAACUAACCAGGAUUCCCUUAGUAACGGCGAGUGAAGUGGGGAGAUAAGUGAAUACAUCGUGUAAUCUUUUUUACGCGUUUGUAGCAAAGCCCGUCGAUAAAAUCCAUUGUUNAUUGAUAACUUCGGUUAUUCAAUAACAAGGAAUUGUAGCAUCGAAAAUAAUAUCAUUCAAGUUGUUAUAAUUUAUUUAUACUGUAAAUUAUUUUACACACACUAGUGCAACAAUUAUUUUUGCCGUUUGUAAUUAUUAACAUAAUAUUUUAAUAUCAACCAAUUGAAACACACAGCGUUUAGCGCUGGAAAGCAAUUUUUGUAGUUUAUCUGCAGCCAUAGAGUGUGACAGCCACGUUUUAUGGAUUAAAAUAUUAUUAUUACAAUUUAACACGCAUUAAUAUUAAUUGUCCAUCUUAUUACAGUUAUAAAUUAUAAACGUAAUUCGUGAAUGUUGAACCUGAGUCGAGUUGUUUGGGACUACAGCUCAAAUAGAUUGGUGGUGGUAAUGACACAUCAAAGGCUAAAUAUUGGUGUUUAUUUUACAUGCAACGGAAACCGAUAGCAAACAAGUACCGUAAGGGAACGAUGAAAAGCACCCUUCAUAGCACGCAUGCAGCGCAUUUAGUCUUCGGGCCAUUUGCAUUUUGCUUGCAAGCUCCAAAGGGAGUGAAAGAGAGAGUGAAAUCGCCUUACAGAAAAUAUAAUUUCUGCUUUAUAAUAUUUUGAAUAUUUACACACAAUUGAUUAAUAUUAUUAAUUAUUAUGUGAAGCAUUCUUUAUUUAUUUAUUCAGCGUAAUACAAUCGGACAGAGCGUCUUUGCAUCUUUUUGAUGGUAACGAACUAUUAUGUAAAUAUUUAUUACAUUGUAUGUUUUGUUAUAUUUAAAGGACGCAACUAUCCGACCCGUCUUGAAACACGGACCAAGGAGUUCAACUGGAUUGCGAGUCGUAGAGUUUAACACAAAACUCAUUAUAUAUAUAAUACGGCAUAGCGAAAGCGAAAUCGUGUGAUGUAUCAUGCAACAGUGAUACUGCAACACAGGCUGAUCAUGGAUAUGCGCUGUGUCUUAGAUAGAGCGUAUACGUAACUUUAUUUUUCGAAAUUUAUUUACGAUUGGUUAAGCUAAAGAGCACUUUAGUUGAGACCCGAAAGAUGGUGAACUAUGCUCGGACAUGGUGAAGUCAGGAGAAAUCUUGAUGGAAGCUUGCGUUGUGCGGAACUGACGUGCAAAUCGUUACCGCCUGACCUGUGUAUAGGGGCGAAAGACUCAUCGAACCAUCUAGUAGCUGGUUCCCUCCGAAGUUUCCCUCAGGAUAGCUCGAAUUUAUAUCAUGAGUAACACAAGGGUAAAGGCAAUGAGACGCGGUAUCUGUGGGUCUUAUUUAAAUGACCUCGGCCUUCUCUCAAACUUUAAAUCUGUGCGAUUACGCAUGCUUACUUAGAAUGUAUAAAAUUUCUUAUAUUUUAUACAGUGAAGUUGCGUUUAUUUAUAUUAUAUCAAAAAUUCGUAGUGGGCCAUUUCUGGUAAGCAGAACUGGCGAUGAGGGAUUCAACCUGACGUUUUCAAGAUAAGCCGGGCUUAAUCAUAUCUGCUCCAACCUUCCGAUAAACGCGAAAGGGUGUUCCGUGUGGUGCAGACAGCAGGACGGUGGCCAUGGAAGUUGGAAUCCGCUAAGGAGUGCGUAAC
rnacentral:rRNA from 1 species